UACGUAGGGGGCUAGCGUUGUCCGGAAUCAUUGGGCGUAAAGAGCUCGUAGGCGGCCUGUCGCGUCUGCUGUGAAAUCCCGGGGCUCAACCCCGGGCGUGCAGUUGAGACUGUCGGGCUGGAGUGUGGGAGAGGAGAGUGGAAUUCCUGGUGUAGCGGUGAAAUGCGUAGAUAUCAGGAGGAACACCGGUGGCGAAGGCGGCUCUCUGGACCACAACUGACGCUGAGGCGCGAAAGCUAGGGGAGCAAACAGG
rnacentral:rRNA from 1 species